CCUACGGGAGGCAGCAGUAGGGAAUCUUCCGCAAUGGACGAAAGUCUGACGGAGCAACGCCGCGUGAACGAUGAAGGCCUUCGGGUCGUAAAGUUCUGUUGUUAGGGAAGAACAAGUGCUAGUUGAAUAAGCUGGCACCUUGACGGUACCUAACCAGAAAGCCACGGCUAACUACGUGCCAGCAGCCGCGGUAAUACGUAGGUGGCAAGCGUUGUCCGGAAUUAUUGGGCGUAAAGCGCGCGCAGGCGGUUUCUUAAGUCUGAUGUGAAAGCCCCCGGCUCAACCGGGGAGGGUCAUUGGAAACUGGGAAACUUGAGUGCAGAAGAGGAAAGUGGAAUUCCAAGUGUAGCGGUGAAAUGCGUAGAGAUUUGGAGGAACACCAGUGGCGAAGGCGACUUUCUGGUCUGUAACUGACGCUGAGGCGCGAAAGCGUGGGGAGCAAACAGGAUUAGAUACCCUGGUAGUCCACGCUGUAAACGAUGAGUGCUAAGUGUUAGAGGGUUUCCGCCCUUUAGUGCUGAAGUUAACGCAUUAAGCACUCCGCCUGGGGGAGGUACGGUCGCGAGACUAGAACUUAAAUAGAAGUUAGUACGGCGUGAGACGUGCCGACGGACGACGACGAGGGAGGUUAGG
rnacentral:rRNA from 1 species